rnacentral:tRNA from 2 species
GGGCCCGUAGCUCAGUCUGGCAGAGCGCCUGGCUUUUAACCAGGUGGUCGAGGGUUCAAAUCCCUUCGGGCCCGCUA